rnacentral:lncRNA from 1 species
GAAAGAUAAAGGCGUUAGAACAUAGAAUCUUUCAUUGAUUCUACAGAAUCUUAAGACUCCUUCAGAGAUGGCAGUCAUUCGUACCGUGCUGAACAUCAUGUUGUCACGGUCAGAAUCAGAACUAAAUUGAUUAAGGUUCUGAAACAGUUUGGCACUCUUGGGCACUUAUUCUGAUAAGAAAGCUGAUGAGACAGGGUAAUGAAAAGAGGCUGCAAGAAAUGACCAUUCAUGCAUUCAGCCAACAUUUAGGCCACCCUCCUGUAUUCCAGGCACUGUACGUGGCACUGAGAAUGCAAAGCAAAACGAGUCAUGGUCUACUGGCGGGAGCCUUCUCAGCGGAGAAAAGAUCAACAAGAAAAGUGCCUGCUGGAGACCUCUCCUAGGGCAUAAACCAAUAUAGAGGUGGGGCAGCUACGUCAGCCUGAGGUGUCCUUAGGCAGAACAGAAAGUGAGAAUCAGAGCAGUAUCUCAUUUCUGAACACCUGGAUUGUAGCUUUCCCUGGACUGACUGUCAAAGGAGGUGGUUUUAAAAAGCAAGCCAAACAGGUUUCCGUCCUUUAGGAAGACCCUGGAACGUGCCAGUUGAUUCUGACAAUUUCUCAUGAACAGAAACACCUAGGAAGGGAGAACUGGUGAGUCUUUUCAAGAAGAGGAAGUCCCUCAAAAGGGGCUGUGUUUCGCAAACGGCACCCCAAAAGGGCUGAAAUACUUCGAUCUGGAGGAAAAAGACUCAGGCACUGAGGGAAGGGGAGGGUGCACAUCUGGGGUAAUUUCAAGGCUUUUUCCGUGUUAUCUGAGGUGGCAACAAGUAAAGAUUUGUUCGUUUUAUUAUUUUUUUAAUUUUUAAAGGUGUUCUUUUCCCCCCUUUUCCCCCUCCCGGCCACUCCGGUUUGUGUUUGCCACAAGACUCAUAAUUCCUUUAGAAAGUGGAGUCGAAUUCAUAAAAGUGAUGGGGGGAGAGCGCGGAGAGGGAAGGCUGGGAGCCCCAGGGAGUCUUCACUACCUACACUGCCGCUCAGCUCCCGGCGCGAGUGGAGGUCGGUGUGGGGAGACGCGACUCCUGCCCGGGAUGGCUGACACUCUGCGAGCCCCGGCGGCCCGCGGCCGGGCCGGGUGACUAGGCGGAGGGCGCGGAGGGUCCGCGGCGGGCGGGUGGCGCUGCAGCAGCCUGGGCACGGCUGCCGCCGCCCGCGGGCGAGAGUGUGCACGGGUGUGGAAGGCCGGAGUGCGGGCCGUGAGGGGUGUGCGCGCUUGAGCCGGAGCGGGGCUCGCCCCUCGUCGGCUCCCGCCGCCCAGCCGGUGAUCGCUCUCCGGCCGUCCCCGGCACCCUCGGCCCCCCACGGCGGUUGGUCCGGGCGGGGGAAGGAGAAAGUGAGACUCGGUGUCAUCACCAAUCCAUCGCCAGAAGGGGAGGUAAUUGGAAUCCAGCAGCGGCGAGCAGCAGCUGGGCAGUCACAUCUGGAAAUGGAAAGCCGACCUCCACCUCCUCCUCCUCCUUCUCCUCCUCUCACCCAGGAUCACUUCCGAAACCAGUUGGCCUUCAGCCCCUGCCUCGGCCAGAGGUUUCAUUUUUAACUGAAUAUUUACGAAAGCUGAAAGCGUGCGAGGGGGGUGGGGUGGAAAUAGCGGCUGCUUCUUUUCCAAGGACUUAUUUAAUGGGGAUGUGUUCAAGGCAAGACCGAAUUCAGAAGGAUAUCGACGUCGUGAUCCAGAAGUCCAGAGCUGAGGACUGCCUGUUUGCAGGUGAGUUCUUGCUUUUCCAGAACCUCGGACCCCGCGCCCCCUUCCCAGUUCUCUGACCGCGACGUGUGUGGCUGGGGGUGGGGUGGAGGGUUUGCACGUCCGCAUUCCGGGGUUCAUUUGGCAACAGCUGCUGCAACGAACACGGGAGCCAAAAGCCAGAGGGGGUGCCAGCCUCGCCCCUUCCCCUCCCCCCACCCCCAAGUCUGGGGCAGCUACCAGCUUUGAGGGCAGAACCCGCGUGGCCCGAGCGGGGGUCUAGGCGAAGGGGCAGUGCGUGGUAUUUCCAGCCCCGCGUAGUGCCCGAAGCCUGCAAGCACGCCUCCUGGGUUCCAGCAGCGGCGGCAGAGCGGGGUUGGUUGGACCCGCCAGGUUUGCGUAAUGGGCUGAGCGGCGGCGGCCGGGAAUGGAGCUUGCUGCGCUGCGCUCGUAAGCUGCGCCCGGCGCCGAAGACCCCCGGGGGGCAGCGCUCGGCCCAUCUCCGGCCCCUUCGGCUCCAUCUAGUCCCCUCCGACUGGCAAAGAGAAGGGAUUCCUCGGAUUCCCAAGAUUUCAGAUACUCAGACUCCACCUUUACUUUUACCUAUGUUGGCGGCCCCAGAAGGAGUGAAGGCAAUUUUGAAGGCAUGACUACGACCUGCUCUGGCCACAAGAGCUAAGAGUUGCCAGGUGUGGUGGCUCAAACACUUUGAGAUGCCAAUCCCAACACUUUGAGAGGCCAAGGCAGGAGGAUUGCUUGAGGCUAGGAGCUUGAAACCAGCCUGGGCAACACAGUGAGACCCCAUCUCUACAAAAAAUAAAAAAACAGGCCAGGCGCAGUGGCACUUAGGGAGGCCAAGGUGGGUGGAUCACCUGAGGUCAGGAGUUCGAGACCAGCCUGACCAACAUGGAGAAACCCCGUCUCUACAAAAAAUACAAAGUUUGCCAGUGUGGUGGCACAUGCCUGUUAUCCCAGCUACUCAGGAGGCUGAGGCAGGAGAAUCGCUUGAACCCGAAAGGCAGAGGUUGCAGUGAGUGGAGAUCACGCCAUUGCACUCCAGCCUGCGCAACAAGAGUGAAACUCCAUCUCAAAUAAAUAAAUAAAAUAAAGUUUUAAAAAGUCAAAAUUAUCCAGGCGUGAUGGUAUGUUCUUGUAGUCCCAGCUACUCAGGAAGCUGAGGUGGGGGAUCACUUGAAUCCGGGAGGUCGAGG